UAUGACCACAUCAUCUUGAAACACCGGUUCCAAUAUGAUCACCAAAGUUAAGCAAUAUUGAGCCUAGAUGGGUGACCACUUGGGAAUACCAGGUGCUGUAA